UACGGGGGGGCAAGCGUUGUUCGGAAUUACUGGCGUAAAGGGCUCGUAGGCGGCCAACUAAGUCAUACGUGAAAUCCCUCGGCUUAACCGGGGAACUGCGUCUGAUACUGGAUGGCUUGAGUUCGGGAGAGGGAUGCGGAAUUCCAGGUGUAGCGGUGAAAUGCGUAGAUAUCGGGAGGAACACCAGUGGCGAAGGCGGCGAUCGUGGGAAGAUACUGACGCUGAGGUGCGAAAGCGUGGGGAGCAAACAGG
rnacentral:rRNA from 1 species